rnacentral:rRNA from 1 species
GAUGAACGCUCGCGACAGGCUUAACACGUGCAAGUCGAGGGGCAGCACAGGUAGCAAUACCGGGUGGCGACCGGCGCACGGGUGAGUAACGCGUAUGCAACUUACCUAUCAGAGGGGGAUAACCCGGCGAAAGUCGGACUAAUACCGCAUGAAGCAGGGGUCCCGCAUGGGGAUAUUUGCUAAAGAUUCAUCGCUGAUAGAUAGGCAUGCGUUCCAUUAGGCAGUUGGCGGGGUAACGGCCCACCAAACCGACGAUGGAUAGGGGUUCUGAGAGGAAGGUCCCCCACAUUGGUACUGAGACACGGACCAAACUCCUACGGGAGGCAGCAGUGAGGAAUAUUGGUCAAUGGCCGAGAGGCUGAACCAGCCAAGUCGCGUGAGGGAUGAAGGUUCUAUGGAUCGUAAACCUCUUUUAUAAGGGAAUAAAGUGCGGGACGUGUCCCGUUUUGUAUGUACCUUAUGAAUAAGGAUCGGCUAACUCCGUG